AUUUCCGGUUCAAAGUCAACUCGUUACACUAACUCGUUUUUACACUAACUCGUUUUAACACUCUACUCGUUUUAACAGCUUGCAAACGUACUGCCGUAGACGUUCGCUUUCACAGAGCAAGUGGUUCUUAUUAUCUGAGACCUAUUUCAAUUUUCAAAGCGUGCAAACGCGACUUUCAACUUGAUUUGUACAUUUUUACCUUCGUGGCUAACUUGGAUUCAGUAAAAGAGCAUAAACAUGGGUUGCAAGCUUUGCAAGAAAUUCUACAACAACAGAUGGUUGAAACAUGGGGAGCGUGACGUAAGCAAUGGUGAACAAAUUGUUCAAGGUUGUCUUGGUGAAGUGACGGCAGGAAUAGAAAAUUGUAGGAGGCGUCGUCCCAUACAAGAGACUCUUAUUGAGGAAUUCAAUUAUUUACCUCAUGUGUUGGAUUUGAUAAGAGAAUAUGGAUAUUCCAUGGAGCUGAAUGAUUUUGUGUUGAAUGUUCAGUCAACACAAGAAGAAGUUUAAAUCAGAAUGUAUUAGUUGCCAACUUUCAGGUCCGUUUUCCAAACGUCGCAUUUUACAUGAGCCGAAUGCAUUUAAAACAAAAGAGAACGAGGAAUUUCGUCUCAAUUUUUUUUGUUUUGAAUGCAUUCGGCGCAUGUAAAAUGUGCCUUGUGAAACGGGCCUUAGUAUAGAAAUAAGCAUUCAUUAUAUAUUACCGUAAAAUAACCAUUCACUAUAUUACUGUAAAAAUAACCAUUCACUGUAUAAUAGUGUAAAUGCGAACACUUGAAAACGCAUCUUGUUUCAAAAACGGAAACUUUCAAGGACAUAUUUGUUUAUAUCUUGUGUAGCUAAUUGACAAUGAAUUAAUGUAACCAUUAUUAGUAACCUUACUUUGAACUUUUGUAUGUAAAAAUGUAUUUAUUUUUUUUAUCUAUGUCAUUAUUAACUUUGAAUGAAAUGAUAAUUUUUGGUGUAAUCAGUUUCAACAGUGUUUUUAACAUCAAA